rnacentral:rRNA from 2 species
ACAUAUAGCGAAAGCUAGUUGCAUUUAAUUUUAAAAUUGGUGCAGUCUUGAUUCUAUCUUAUAAAGUUCUGGGUAGGUUAUGAUGAUGACAUUUCCUAUCCAUAGGUCUUGACCAAAUUACGUGCCAGCAGUCGCGGUAACACGUAGAAGACGAGUGUUAUUCAUCUUUAAUAGGUUUAAAGGGUACCUAGACGGUAAAUCAAGUCCAAAAAGGAUACUAAUUUUCUAGAGUUAUAUGUGAGGGGGCUCUAAAGUACUGAUAAGUGUAGAGAUGAAAUUCUUUGAUACAAUCUUCGGACAGGUAAAGGCGAAAGCAUCUCAUUAUGUAAUAACUGACGUUG